UGGGAGUUUAUUCCAGAUUAGUGGAGCAUAAGAACUAAAAGCUGCUUCUCCAUGUUUGGUUCUGGUUCUGGGUGUGCAGAGUAGAUUUGAGCCAGAAGACCUGAGAGGUCUGUGUUCUUGGCGAACUGCUAGGUAGUCACUCCCCUCAGCUGCAUCUUUCUGCAGCUUCUCUGCUUGUUAGUGAUGAGAACCAGGUGGACUCAAUCUCCUAGCAAUCAGAGAGUGCAGGUACUUUUGGUGUGACUAACCUGUCACUCCUGUUUGAAGAAGUGCCACAGCAUGAGAAGCAAAUAGUGCUGGUAGCACAUGGAAAUUGAGAACUGUGCGAAAGUUUUCUACAAACAGUGAAGGACAGUCGGUUUUUCACCUAUGUGGCUGAAAGGCUAAAACACUAUGGUGACCAUCAUACAAAAUAAAGAUGGAUCAGCUAAAUUGAAGGCUCUUUGAGUGAAAUCCAGUUAAGUUUCAUAGUGGAGACUAUCCUUUCAAGUGGGGAAUCGCACAGUAAAUCAUACCUGACAAAACUUGACAGAGAAAAACUGCAGUCUAAAGACUGGAGGGAUAUUAAGUAUUUGUUGGCUGAACUAAAUGUGUCCACAAAGAGACAAGUCAAGAUUGUUCUUUUGCCCUGCUGCUAAAACCACAAUGGCUGACUCAGUAAUGCUGGAGCAGCUGAAGAGUGCUAGAACAGUGAAGCGUCAAUUCUCCCGUUUAGCCAAUAAUGUGCUACGAAUGCACACAGUGAAGAAGAGCUCAGGGGCAACUUUGCAAAGCUCACAGCAGAAGCCAGUAAAGUUCUUGAAGCCAAUGAUGAUGUUGCAGAACAAUAUACUGUUGAAAAUUCAGAUCCAGAAGUGUUAAGUGAACAACAAAAGGCUGAUUUGGAUAAAACGACCACAGAAUAUGAGAAAAGAUUGCAAGAGCUAAGAAACCUAAUACAAAGGACAUUGUGGGAACAUUUUGGGGAAUAUGAACUGAUGCAGGUCAUUACAACUGCAGUCACAUGCAGAUUAUGUGGACACAGUGAAUCCAAGUAAAAGCACAGAUGCAUAUGAGUUCAUGAUAGAACAUCUGCAAAACCUUGUAAAGACAGCAAAGGCAGUGCAUAAACAUUGGAAGUGCUGGGCUCAUCAGGCAGAGCAACAUCAGUUUCAGAGUCGUAUCAGAGACCUUGAGAACAUAUUACCAAAAUUAACAUUAAGAAAAGCAGAAUUUCUUGAAGAGCAAGCCAGAGAAGUGACCUAGAGGUUAAGCACUUCUAUGAGUUUUCCUGUGGUCCCGGCCAUUAAACUAAAGCUUGCUGCUCUACCAACGUUUGCUGGAGUUUGUAGAGAGUUUUAUCAGUGGAAAAAAGAUUGGGAAGCACUCCAGUUGCAGGGAGAACCUACUGGAUCCAAAGAGGUUAAAAAAUAUAAUUUUCUCGACAGUGUGGAUUAGAAAAUAGUACGAGACCAUCGUCUCACAACUUACACAACAGCUGAUGAGCUAUUCUGGGUUCUAAAGAAUCACUUUGGAAAUAAAACAACUAUUGCCCUUGAAAUAGUGGAGAAGCUUCAAAAGGUUCCACCAGUUAAAGGCAACCAGCCCAAGAAGAUUGCUGAGCUAAUUCAAACGGUAAAAAAAGCUCUGAUAGAUCUUGAAGAGCUUGGUGCAACUGGUACUAUAAAGAUCCCCCUUAUAACAAAAGCAAUUAAAAGUAAACUUCCAGACAGCCUGAAGAAGGAAUGGAUUUUCCAUAUAGCCAGCAAAUUGACUGAGGCUGAACAAGACAAAUGAUUUGACUACCUCCUGAAAUUUCUUCAAGGUCAAGAAGCAAUUUAUGAAAAGCUGGAUCAAUUGAAGGACGAGGAGUCAAAAUCGAGGUCUGAACCACUCCAAGCCCGGACCAGAACUUCUAUUCAGUCAACGAACAUGUCUCAAGGAUGUGUGGUUUGUGGAGACGGGAAGCAUAAGAAAAUGCUGUAUUUCUGUAAAAAGUUUCACAUGCUCAAGCUGUCAGAAAAGAGGGAAGCUGUUAAGAAACUGGGGGCAUGCAAAAAAUGUCUGGAGACUCAGAAUGAGUAUGAGAACUGUAACCAAAUUUCUGUGCAGAAGGCCAGACUGCAAGAAUCAACGCACUGCAGAGCACCAUUAUUAUCUCUGUCCAAAAGCCGAUGUGUCCAGAGAGCAUUUUAUUCAGAGGCGCAAAAGCACUAUAGUGGGAGGUGACAUAGCAGGUUGCUAUACCCAAGCACUAGAAGAUUUCAUUAAAGGCCUUCAACCUGAACAGGCAGAGAAGUGUCGUCAUGUUUUCUGUAAUGCAGUGGUUAAAACAUCUGUGUCCAAUCAGCCCAACCUUUUGGCAAAGUAUGGUUUGGUGGAGUUGCCUGUCAUCAUGAUGCUAUUAGAGGUCACAGCUAAUGCAGGACAAAAGAUUGGGACUCUAAUUGAUCUAGCAUCAGAUACCAACUAUAUAACACAUGAUGCAGCCGAUCGAUUAAACUUGAGAAGUGAAGCCAUAACCCUGGUUGUCUACGGUGUGGGAGGAAUGAAAGUUCAAGUUACGACAAGACUGUACCUCCUAAAGAUCCGGGUCAGAACAGAAAGGGGAAACUUCAGGUCCCACCAACUCCUCUGCUAUGGUUUGGACAGCAUCACCGAUAUCCAUCAACAUGUAACUGAAAAAGCACUUCAAAAGUUCUUCCCAGACGUUCCCCUCUGUGAACUCGUGAGACCAAAAUAGAUACAGCUGUUAAUAAGUCACAAAGAAGGUCAGCUGGUUCCACAGAAGAUGCAUGCUGUUGGACAUCUUGUAUUAUGGGAUGGACCAUUGGGAAAGACAGUUGCAGGAACACAUCCUGGGCUGUUUGAAGAGGCUACAUUCACAGCGCGCUAAUCCAGAACCCACUUCGCCAGGUCAAUGGGAAUUGCUGCAGUGAUGUAUAAAGAGCAUGUAUGCUCCUCAUCUACCAUCAAGCAUUUUAGCUCCGCGGCUACCACUUGUGAAGUGGGACAGCAUUGGUGCUGCUUGCACCCCAAAAUGUGGAGGCUGCCGCUGUGGUAACUGCCAGCCCGGUGGCAAAGAAAUGACCUUGGCUGAAGAAAGAGAAUUAGAAGUGGUGAAGAGUGGACUGACAUAUGUUGGUGCUGAUGACCACAGCGACAGUCCUCAUAGGCAUGCAAGUGUUGUGGAAUUUUCUUGGAUGAAUAAACCCUUCAAAUUGAAUCUAAUAAAUAAUUCCCACCAAG